rnacentral:rRNA from 1 species
CCAAAAACAUGGCCUUUGGAGUAGGAUCAAAAGGUCGUGCCUGCCCGGUGACGUAAGUUAAACGGCUGCAGUACUCUGACUGUGCAAAGGUAGCAAAAUCAAUUGUCCAUUAAUUGUGGACCGGAAUCAAUGGUUUGACGAUAAAAAAACUGUCUUUCUUUACUGGCUUUUAAAUUAUCUUAAGAGUGAAGAGACUCUUUUGUUAUAGCGGGACGAGAAGACCCCGUUGAGCUUUAACGAGUAUUAUUAGUUUUAUAAUUACUGGUUUUAGUUGGGGCAACUAUUUCUCUUUAUUAAACAGAAAUAAAACUAUCUCGAAUUGAAUCAAUUAUGACCCCUAAUUAUUAGGAGUAAUAAAAUAAGUUACCACGGGGAUAACAGCGUAAUUUUUUUUGAGAGUUCUUAUUGACAAAAAAGUUUGCGACCUCGAUGUUGGAUCAUAGUCUCCUAGGGGUGCAGCAGCUCCUAAGGGUUGGUUUGUUCAACCAUUAAAACUAUACGUGAUCUGA